UCAUGCAUGAAGAAGCAAGCGGUGACCCAGUCACUGCAAGGUGUGCUUUGGUCUGGUUUCCUCUGGGCGCGGGCGGGGGCGGGGGUAGGACCUGGGUAACCUAUCUGUAAUCUACCUGCACUCACCCCAGAAGUGAUUCCCACCUGCACACGCUUGCUCCCGGAAGUGGUUCCCCCUGUCCUCACUCUCUCCCGGAAGUGGUUUCCGCCUGCCCGCUCUCAGAGGCGCUGUGUCUCUGUCCUGAGCCGCACGUAGAGGGUUCGCGCCGGACUUGGCAAUUCCCGUGCUGCCGAAAGAAAUUUGGCUGUGACCGCGGGCAAUGACUUCAUCCCUCUGAGCCUCAGUUUUCUCCUCUGCCAAAGGGACGCAGCCGACAGAGCACGAUGGUUAGGCGCCUGGACUCUGGCAUCACAUCACCAGUGUUCAAAACCCUCAGCCCUGCAUCUUGCUGACUGAUAACCCGGAACGGGGCCUCUCUGAGCCUCAGUUUCCCUCCCCGAAGAGUGGAUGACCUCGUAGUUGGUGCCUGCCUCUGAGAUACUUUGUUGUGAGGGUUAAGAGCCACGAUGCCACAAAGUACUGAAUGCAGGGCCUGGCACAUGGUGAAUGGCAGCAAAUGCCAGUUAGGAUCACGACAGCCUUGGGCCACCUGCCUUGUGAGGGGCAGUGGCGACUGCCAGUGGGCAUGAGGGCCUCAAGUCCGAGACUUAGCACUUGCUUCCAAAACUCAGCGCUGCACUCUGACAUGGGUCUCCAGGGUGGUGGAUCCACAGAAGAUCUGGUCCUCACCCACCUAUUUUUUUCCCUGCCUGAGCUCCCUCCUGCCUGGAGGCAAGGAGGGGGCGGGGUUGAUCUAUGGGCCUGGUAACCUGCCUGGGGGAAGGGAGGGGGCCUCUGACCCGAGGGGUAAAUCAUGGGCUUCCCCAAGGGCCCAGCAGUUCCCUAGGAAAGAAGCCCUGGGCAUUUGUUAUCUCAAUGUUUCCCCUGAGGGGCUGACCACAUGAUUCAUUUCACUCACACUAAUUGGAUGUAAAUUAGAUGAGAAAUCAGUAAUUUGUCCUAAGAUUUGUCAUUCCGGAUGGCUUUCCAGGCAGACCAAAGCAAAGCUGGUCCCAGUGAAGGCGCCCCCAGCCGUAAGGGAGGCACAGGCGGUUUUAGGAGAGGGAAAGGUUUUCCUUGACGACUUCUAAGUUUGCAUUCUUCUUAAAAAGGGAGGUGCUGGAUGACCCACAGCCUUGGGUCCCCAAGCUCUGAAGCAGCAGGUCUAGGAGGGGAGGCAGACAGUAAUCAAAUAACCGUGCACAUCCAUGUGUGAUGAUGAACUAUGCCAAGUGCCAUGCAAGGAAGCUGGGGGCUUUGACAGCAGAUGAGAACAUUGAAGCCGAGAGAGGUUAAGUGACUUUCCCAAGGCCUUGCUGCCAACGAGUGCAAGAGCAGACUCAAACUUGCCAUUCCUGACUCCAAAGUGCCUACUUUUAACCUCUUCCAUUCCUUCCUCCCCUCUCUCGCUUCGGUUCUUCUCUUCCUCCUUCUCUCCCUCUCUCUCCCUUCCUGGCUUCUAUAGACAUGUACAAGCUCACAGUGAACUGGAGGCUGGUUAUUCACACUCCGCCAUUGCUCUGUGCUUUACACACGUGUUGUUUCAUAACAAGGAUGUGAUUCACGCUCAACUUUGGAGGACACCUCUAUCCGUAUAACGUUGCCAAGUUCCUCGGCAAAUGUUAAGGUGUUGAGGGAGAAUCACUGACAUUUCGGAGUUGGGAGUGCACCCUCUUCUUUUCACACAGACGGAAUGAGGCCCGGAGAGGAGAGAAGGUUUGUCUGGGGAUGAGGUGGAUCGCCAGCCAAGGAGCGAAGACCAGAAACCGGAAGGCCCCCCCCCCCGCCCCCAUGAUCCUUACCCCAUUGCAGCCACCACCCAGGGCACACAGCCCACUCUGAGAAAUCAGGGAAUCCCUUAGAAGACCAGGACACCCCAGGGAAUGCAAUAGAAAGGAUUCCUCAGAUGGACACAGAACCCGUACCCCGGCAGCACAAAGGCACCACCAGCCAUUCUAAGAGCCCUGACCCCCACCCCCACCCCCACCCCACCCCACCCUGGGCCUUAGGCUGCCAGAGGAAGUGUCUCUCUUCAGAUGAAUAUGCUGCUAUGCAAGUGCUGUGGAGAAUGACAUUUCUACUUAAAGGGGUCGUAUUUCUACCCUGUUGAGUAGAGGACAGGAAAAGGGGAACCUGAGGGAGGUAAACAUGGCUGAGCCAUAAGGGGCUCCCUUUUCCUCCCUCCUUCCCCGCCUCAGGGCCCAUGCUGGUGGUGGCUGUGGCUGUUGAGUAUUGGCUGAGAUUUCCAAUACCUUUUGGGGAUACCAGAUGCGAGAGUCUGAGGCUCUGGAGUCAGGCAGACUUGACUUCCAAACCAGGUCCUGACACCGAAGAGUCUCUGUUUUCCCAUCCCUAAAAUGGGAAUAACAGCCUUACCAUGAAUUUUUCGAGGGUGUUUGGAGAACAAGCCUGAGUUGUCAUAAACACAAAGCAAGGGGUACCAUGUCUGGCAAAGUGGGAAAAUGGAAUGGAAUAAGUUAAAGGCCUGCUCCUGGCACGUCCGUAGAGUUACUAGUUGUAAGUUCCUCGUUCUUCUCAUUUCCCAGGGCUGGGCCUUGGAGGUGGGUGAUUAGGAAAAGAAACUGGGGGUCACUCCUACCUUCACUUUUGAGUCGAGUUCUGAGUUUCUUGUAAAUAGCUAAAGUCAUUUUUCUAAGACAAAUUAAUACAAUUCAAAAAUACCCAGAGUGUGGAAUGGGUUUUUAAAAAAUGGAGGUGGAAUUCACAUUGCAUUAAAGUAACCAUUUUAAAGUGCACAACUAGGGGCGCCUGCGUGGCUCGGUCAGUUAAGUGUCCAACUCUUGAUUUUGGCUCAGGUCACGAUCUCACAGUUCAUGAGAUCGAGCCCUGCACUGGGCUCUGUACUGACAGUGUAGAGCCUGCUUGGGAUUCU